CUGUGCUGUCUAUAAAACAAGUGCCUUUAUAGACCUCUAGCCCACAAUGUCUGCAUAACCUUCAGCUAUUACAGCUGCCUUUAAACACAGAGGGAUCAUUCAAAAACACACACACUCAAACUCAUACACACAUGCACACUCAUACACACUCAAAACCAUAGACUCAUACACACUCAAAAUAUACACUUUCAGACACAUACUCAAAAACACACAAUCACACACCCUCACACACUCAAAAACACACACACACACAGAUACAGUCACACACUCAAAAACACACAGAUUCACACACACACAAAACACACUCACACACUCAGACACACACUCACACACUCAAAAACACACACACACACAGAUACAGUCACACACUCAAAAACACACAGAUUCACACACACACAAAACACACUCACACACUCAGACACACACUCACACACUCAAAAACACACUCAGACACGCACACUCACAGAUACAGUCACACACUCAAAGACACACUCAAAAACAUACACAUUCACACAGACACACAAAAGACACACUCACACACUCAGACACACACUCACACACUCAUAAACACACCCAGACACACACACUCACAGAUACAGUCACACACUCAAAAACACACACACUCACAGAUACAGUCACACACUCAAAAACACACACACUCACAGAUACAGUCACACACACAAAAACACACUCAAAAACAUACACAUUCACACACACACACACACAAAAGACACACACACUCACAGAUACAGUCACACACAAAAACACACACUCAGAAACAUACACAUUCAGACACACACACACUCACAGAUACAGUCACACACUCAAAAACAUACACAUUCAGACACACACACACACACACAAAACACACUCACACACUCAAAAACACACUCAGACACACACACUCAUAGAUACAGUCACACACUCAAAAACACACUCAGAAACAUACACAUUCAGACACACACACACACACACACAAUCAACAUACACUCACACACUCAGACACACACACACUCACAGAUACAGUCACACACUCAAAAACACACACUCAAAAACCUACACAUUCAGACACACACACACACAAUCAACAUACACUCACACACUCAGACACACACACACACAUAUACACUCACAGAUACAGUCACACACUCAAAAACACACACUCAAAAACCUACACAUUCAGACAACACACACACACUCAAAAACAAACUCACACACUCAAAAACAUAUAGUCACGCACUCAAAAACACAAUGACACACACUCGCACACUCACAGAUACAGUCACACACUCAAAAUAUACACUCUCAGACAGCCACACACUCAAAAACACACUCUCGAAAACAUACACAUUCAGACACACACACGCACUCUCACACACACACACACACACUCAAAAACACCCGCACACACUCAAAAACAGAAUUACACCAUCAAAAACAUAUAUCCUCACACACUCAAGAACACAUACUCACAGAUACAGUCACACACUCAAAAACUCUCUGACACACAGUGCCACAC
ensembl:lncRNA